ensembl:snoRNA SNORD33 Small nucleolar RNA Z195/SNORD33/SNORD32 family
UUCUAUACCCAACAGGGGGCUCAAACUUACUACCCUGAGAUCAAGUCACAUGCUCUACCAACUGA